GACGAACGCUGGCGGCGUGCCUAAUACAUGCAAGUAGGACGAAGUUGCGAACGGGAGAGUAACGCAUCGGUAACUACCUAUUAGAGGGGGAUAACAAUUGGAAACGAUAGCUAAUCCCGCAUACUAGUAGAUGGACCUGCGUUGUAUUAGUUAGUAGGUAGGGUAAUGGCCUACCAAGGCCACGAAACAGAGCCGACAUGAGAGGGGGGUCGGCCACAAUUGGACUGAGACACGGCCCAGACUCCUACGGGAGGCAGCAGUAGGGAAUCUUCGGCAAUGGGGGGAACCCUGACCGAGCAACGCCGCGUGAGUGCAUAAGGUUUUCGGGUCGUAAAGCUCUGUUGUUAAGGAAGCGGUACUUAACCAGAAAGGGACGGCUAACUACGUGCCAGCAGCCGCGGUAAUUC
rnacentral:rRNA from 1 species